rnacentral:rRNA from 1 species
CGAAAUGCGAUACUUGGUGUGAAUUGCAGAAUCCCGUGAACCAUCGAGUCUUUGAACGCAAGUUGCGCCCGAAGCCGUCAGGCCGAGGGCACGUCUGCCUGGGCGUCACGC